rnacentral:rRNA from 1 species
GAGGAAUAUUGGUCAAUGGGCGAGAGCCUGAACCAGCCAAGUAGCGUGCAGGAUGACGGCCCUAUGGGUUGUAAACUGCUUUUAUGUGGGGAUAAAGUGAGCUACGUGUAGUUUAUUGCAGGUACCACAUGAAUAAGGACCGGCUAAUUCCGUGCCAGCAGCCGCGGUAAUACGGAAGGUCCAGGCGUUAUCCGGAUUUAUUGGGUUUAAAGGGAGCGUAGGCCGUGGAUUAAGCGUGUUGUGAAAUGUAGACGCUCAACGUCUGAAUUGCAGCGCGAACUGGUUCACUUGAGUAUGCACAACGUAGGCGGAAUUCGUCGUGUAGCGGUGAAAUGCUUAGAUAUGACGAAGAACUCCGAUUGCGAAGGCAGCUUACGGGAGCACAACUGACGCUGAAGCUCGAGGGUGCGGGUAUCAAACAGGAUUAGAUACCCUGGUAGUCCGCACAGUAAACGAUGGAUGCCCGUUGUUAGUUCACCUAAGAAUUAGCGACCAAGCGAAAGCAUUAAGCAUCCCACCUGGGGAGUACGCCGGCAACGGUG